AUUUUCCCAAAUUUGUGAAGCCAUGAAGCUUGUAUGAGGACCGGUCUAGUGAUACACCCUCUGUCAGCUUCAUCUCGUCAACGAGGAGGGCUCCUGAAAUUUAGCGAUAUUAAGUGUAAAUCCCUAGUGCGUAUGUUCAAGUUUUACCACACAGUGAUAUGGGGUACGAGCAACGAAGGUAAUGCAUAUUUUUUAAAAGAAGGAUAAACUGCACACAUUUGUUGCAGUUCAGUAAAAUGCUACCACUGCCAUUCAGUAUUCCAUGUUUUUCCUUGGAAGACUUGAAAGUAACCAGCAUCACUAUCAUAGCUCUUACACACAUGCAUGUGUAUACUUUUUCCAGGCAUCAGGAACACAUUUGCUUGCACUCUACAUGAUUAAAAUAACAGCCCAGAACCAAGUGCAGUCAAGCACCAAGCUGCCCAUAGUGCUGCCAAGUGGCUGCCCACAAGAGCACUUCACAAAGGAGGAAGAAGAAACCUAUUUGAUGUUUUACUUUCAAUAAACUAGCAAAACUAUA